CUGAAGCGACUCUGCUGUUCCUCCGAAUCAGAACGCAGAAAGAAAGACAGACAGUAACAGUAACGUAUUUGGUGUAGAAGUACUAUCGAGUUUCAGAAUGCUGCUCCUGGCAUUAUGCACAGUCUGCGCGCUGCUCUCCGCAGCGUACACAGACACUACCCCAUCUGGUCAGGAGUGCUUUAGUUGCAUGGGAGACGUCUGCAAGGAGACUGUGAUGAAGUGCCUUGGCGUUGAAGACCGCUGUUCAAAAGUUGUCAUCGAAGCAGAAGGGAAGAAGUUCGUGACAAAGGGAUGCGUUUCCAAAAACGCUUGUAGUUCAAAAUCCAUUCCCGGUGUAUCCAUUCCCGGUGUAUCCAUUCCUGGUGUAUCCAUUCCCGGUGUAUCCAUUCCUGGUGUAUCCAUUCCCGGUGUAUCCAUUCCCGGUGUAUCCAUUCCUGGUGUAUCCAUUCCCGGUGUAUCCAUUCCCAGUUUAUCUGUAGUGACUUACUGCUGUGAGGGCAAACUGUGUAACGGAGCACGUCAGGUCGGACAGAACAUCCUGUUGCUGUUAUUUCCUCUUCUAAUUGUCAAGCUGCUAUUUUAAACCAGGACUCCCUCUAGUCUAUUCAAUAGCUCUUCAAUUGAACCCAGCAGGUAACUGGUUGCUUUAUUCUUGUUUAGUUUUUCAAGUUUUGUUUUUUGUAUAUCGCAACUUUCCUCCUAGAUUGCUCCAGUAAAAAAAAAGAGAAAAAAGGAAAACCUGUAUAAAUAAAUGGAUAAUUGUAUGUAACUCUUGUAAUAAUUUGAAAGACUCCCUGGAUAAGGGGGUGUAAGAAAUAAAAUAACAAUAACAAUCCUGAUUAUCCAUAAAUAUGAAUGUAUUUGUUAAUAUUGUCAUUUUCCUCGAACUGACUCUGGGUAUAUCUGUGCUUUCUGAUUCAAGUCAAAGUCAGCAUGUACAGUGUC